AGCGAACGCUGGCGGCAGGCUUAACACAUGCAAGUCGAGCGGGCACUUUCGGGUGUCCGCGGCGGACGGGUGAGUAACGCGUGGGAACGUGCCCUCUGGUUCGGAAUAACUCAGGGAAACUUGAGCUAAUACCGGAUACGCCCUUUUGGGGAAAGGCUUGCUGCCGGAGGAUCGGCCCGCGUCUGAUUAGGUAGUUGGUGAGGUAACGGCUCACCAAGGCGACGAUCAGUAGCUGGUCUGAGAGGAUGAUCAGCCACACUGGGACUGAGACACGGCCCAGACUCCUACGGGAGGCAGCAGUGGGGAAUAUUGGACAAUGGGCGCAAGCCUGAUCCAGCCAGGCCGCGUGAGUGAUGAAGGCCUUAGGGUUGUAAAGCUCUUUUAUCCGGGACGAUAAUGACGGUACCGGAGGAAUAAGCCCCGGCUAACUUCGU
rnacentral:rRNA from 1 species